AUUGAACGCUGGCGGCAGGCCUAACACAUGCAAGUCGAGCGGAUGAAGGGAGCUUGCUCCUGGAUUCAGCGGCGGACGGGUGAGUAAUGCCUAGGAAUCUGCCUGGUAGUGGGGGAUAACGUCCGGAAACGGGCGCUAAUACCGCAUACGUCCUGAGGGAGAAAGUGGGGGAUCUUCGGACCUCACGCUAUCAGAUGAGCCUAGGUCGGAUUAGCUAGUUGGUGGGGUAAAGGCCUACCAAGGCGACGAUCCGUAACUGGUCUGGGAGGAUGAUCAGUCACACUGGAACUGAGACACGGUCCAGACUCCUACGGGAGGCAGCAGUGGGGAAUAUUGGACAAUGGGCGAAAGCCUGAUCCAGCCAUGCCGCGUGUGUGAAGAAGGUCUUCGGAUUGUAAAGCACUUUAAGUUGGGAGGAAGGGCAGUAAGUUAAUACCUUGCUGUUUUGACGUUACCAACAGAAUAAGCACGGGCUAACUUCGUG
rnacentral:rRNA from 1 species